rfam:Hordeum vulgare subsp. vulgare, WGS project CAJW01000000 data, contig: morex_contig_1494328
CGUAACAAGGUUUCCGUAGGUGAACCUGCGGAAGGAUCAUUG